CCCGUCUGUCCCACCAUCCAGAGAUCCCCGUCUGUCCCACCACCCAGAGAUCCCCGUCUGUCCCACCACCCAGAGAUCCCCGUCUGCCCCACCACCCAGAGAUCCCUGUCUUUCCCCUGCCCUCUGCCUCUAUCAUUCCUCUCAGUACAGCCCCUGAAGUGUCAGUGCAGGUUACCAUUCCCGGGGCUGGGUGUUCCAUCAUUGCAGGGGCUGUGCCGUGGCUGGAUGCACAGGGAGAAGGGGCAGCGCCCUUCCAGAGGUACUCCAGCUCUCAGCAAAGCCUGCCAGCGACACUGGUAAUCCCUCACGUGAAAGGGCAAAAAGCUAAAAGAAUACAAGACUCUGCUGAGAUUAAGAGAGAAACAAACAGAGCCCAGUGUAACAAAAGAAGGUGCUCAGAUCUGUAGAUAAGGAGCUUUCCGAGGCCUCUGAGCAAGGACCCUGUUUAACUCCCUGCAGAGCACCAAAGGGUCUGCAGGGCUCAGGGACAGAGCUGCAGGAGAGAUGAAACAGCAAGAGUUAAGACAAGGAGACUGAUCCCUGCCUGAACUGCAUUUUUCAACUUCCAGCUAAAUUUUAUUGUGUGGUUAGAACCAGUUCCUGUUCUGGACCUAGUUUAAUUUCAUUCUGGAAAUGCGACCAUCUACUAUGUAGACACACUAUUAUUACUUUCCAGCAUCUAGUGAUAAUUGCCCAGAUGGGUACAAACCAUAUUUUAUUGUUAUUUUGUUUGGUUAAACUUAGGAGAGGGGCUGCUUGUCAUCAGGCUCUGAGUAAGAAAGUACUUUAUAAUAGUGUUUGUAAGCAGUAUCUUUGCCAGUGAUGAUGAAAGCAACAUUAAAUUGUUUUCAGAGGAAAUUUACGCUUGGGUUGAAGCUCAGCCCAAGGCAUAUAUAUCAUUUGUGUCCUUUUAGGCUUUAUUUUUGAGGCCUGAGUGAGACUGAUGGUGCACUGGUGUAGACUUGGUGCCGUGGAAAAUAUUGCUCUGGGGACUCAGUCCUUGGAUAUUUUUCAGGGAAAACUCCCAAUUGUUUUCAAUGUGCAAAUACCACAAAGGCCCUAUUUUGAGUUCUCUCUCAUUAGAUUGCAAAACUGUUUCAAUUAUAUCCUAUGGAUUUCACAGUCAUGUAACUUCCUGAACACCCACAUUGAGGAAAGAAAGGUUUCAUGUUUGGAUCUCUGUUUUGCUAACAUACCAGCUAACAAAACCCCACAGGACCACACUGGACAGCUACAACAUGAGUAUUAUUCUAAGAAAUAGUCAACAUUUGUCAGCCCUGACCGCAUGGUGACAUCUGAAUUUAGCACACUUUUCCCUGUCCUCAGAAUAAAAAGAUACCUAGGGAAAGCUUAGAUGGUAAAUGACUGUUGACCUUGACUUUUUUUCUAAACUUUCUUAUCAUGGACAGCUUACUAGGCCAAAAAAAAGCCCAAAAACGAUGUGAGAUAAAACUAUAUAUAAAGUUAAACAAAUUAACUAGAGGACAUUGAAAAGCUUCAUGUCAACAUGGUAGUACUAGAUUGUCUGCUAGACAGAAAAAAAGCAUGAAGAAACACUGGAUUGGAAAACUGUGGCAUUGAUAGUACUUGUCAAAUGAACUAUGCAGCAAUGGGUACUCAGGGUGGGAAAGAACUCCCAUAGUAUCUGGUCUCAUCCAAAACUCUUCUAGUAGUUUGCUGAAGUACUAUGUAAGUACUUCAAGGAAUCUGAAGCAUUAUUGUAUUCAAAAUGACAUUAAUUUUAAGGGUGAUUAGACAAGCUACUGUUCUAGAGAUGCCACUGUAUUACCAGUCAUUGGGGUUUGGAUAGAAAUCCUAGUGGGUCUAGAGCAGCUUGCCUUCUAUGUAAUCAGAUUCUGUUUUUCUUCUCCUCUGUGAAGUCAGAACACAUUCCCCCAUGGGAACACCUGUGUGCUGUCCCUGCACAGUGAGCUGCCCACACAGGCCCCUGGUUCCCUAAACCUCUGCCCAUGAGCCUCUGGCUGUUCAAUUCUGACCCAAAAACCAGGCACUUCACAUGGCUGUUCUCAUCACUAUUAAAGGCUUUAAGUUUUUGUUGUCUUUUCCCACUUUAGCUCUGCUUUGCAAACCUAGUCCUCCUCCUUGACAAUUGCCGUGGGACAAGGACCAGCUGCCGUACAGGAGUUCUCUUUAAAAAUUGUCUGCCAGCCUACUCCUGUGGAUUGUUCCCUGCUGCCCAGCUCCCCUUGCCCAGGACCAGGCUGUGAACAGAGGCCCUGGGAGGUCACUUCCAUAGGACUGCCCAUGGAGACAGAUAAAGGACAGCCAAGCUUUCAUUUAGCCACGAAACACAGAUGAUUUCCUGCCAUUGCCAUCUCCACUUUGAUGCGAGGAGAUGCUGAAGCUCUUGUGCCUGUUGGAGUUGUACUGUUUCUACAGAAAAAAAGUUGUUAGAUUCCAGCCUGGAAAAUUAUUCAAAAUGUAGAAAUACUAGGAAUGCAACCUUUUAUAUGAAGUGACAACAUGUUGAAUGCUACUGGGCUUAAAAAGCAAGUGUUCUGUAAUAGAGAAUACUAGAAGCAGCAAACUAGUAGUCCUGUGGAAGGUGGAUCUCCUAUGAAAUCAGCCUAGAUAUGUAAUACAUCCUAGAAACCUGGAAAGCUUAUGAAUGAGAGAAGUGGAAAAGUAUUCUCAAGAAAUAGGGGGAAAACCCCAUUCUCUGGAGAUGUCAGCUGGGAUUUUGGAAGUAUUUAGCAAUUGUCUGUGUCUGGCCCAGCUUGGAAAUCUGUCCCAGUUUAGGACAUCACUUGAACAUGUGGUUCUAUGCUGCUGAUGGAGCAGAAGUGUUACAUGAAGCUGAGCAUCCCACAUAUGGAGGGGCUUAGGAAUGUGCGGAAAUGCUUUGUCUGAAUGAAGGACCCUGUUUAAAGGCUCCCAUAUAUUGGCAGAGGUUGGAAAGGUUUAUCUUGAAAAUAAGGAAUGCAGUUUGUUGCACUGCUUUUUUUGUGUUUGUGUAUGUGUUGUUCUAAAAGUUGGUCACAUGAGAAAUUGUAGAAUAUUAAAAAAACACAUGUACAAAAUACUGUCCUCAUUUUUCUAUGCUGAAACAGAGUUCAGGAGCUUUUCUCUGAAAAUUCUUUACGUAUAUGUACUUUUACACUGAAGAAAGUAACAAAUGCUUUUAAUCGAGAUGGACAAUUGUGUGCAGGCAGGACAGGCAUGAUACCAGAUUGAAAACACAAAGGAUUUUACUGUCUUCCAGAAGUUUAGUAUACAUGGUUAAAAAUUUUAGAAAAAUAAUUUGACAGAGCUUUCUCAUAUCAAAAAUCAAUGUAAAACUACACUGUAAUCUGAAAAAAAACUAUCUUGCUUUCAUAUCAGAGAUAAGUAUAAGUCUUGUUUUUAUCUUAUUUUCCUUUAUUCCUCAGUGUCAUUACCAAAACAAGUAUUUCAGUGCAUUAGAAAAUGUAAUUUGAGUCAACUGAUACCUCAAUCGGUACUGACAUAUAUGUAAUUUCCUGUGAUGUUGAACAGAGAGAAUUGAUUUCAAAUGUAUAUUUUUGGAUUAAGGUGAAGGGAUCAAGUAGGAACGUAACUCUUAUGUCUGACGAUUGAAUUUGACCUGCCAUAUGAGCAGAGCAGAAUCCUGAAGGAUGAUAUCUCUAACAUAUAAAUGCCAUGUCUAUAUAUUAAUUUUGUGCCUAUAAGGAGAGCUAGGUAAGAAAGUGGUGAAUCAGUAAAAGAGUAUUUGUGGCACAUAGAAAGGCACCUCAGCAGUUUCUCUAUGUGUGUUCCUGUACUUAAGGAUAAUAAUUCCUAGUUACCUGAUCCAUGUACAGAACAUGGAAGAAGCAAGAAACUUCUCAUCACUGACUAC